rnacentral:rRNA from 1 species
UACGUAGGGUGCGAGCGUUAAUCGGAAUUACUGGGCGUAAAGCGUGCGCAGGCGGUUGUGCAAGACAGAUGUGAAAUCCCCGGGCUCAACCUGGGAACUGCAUUUGUGACUGCACGGCUGGAGUGCGGCAGAGGGGAUGGAAUUCCGCGUGUAGCAGUGAAAUGCGUAGAUAUGCGGAGGAACACCGAUGGCGAAGGCAAUCCCCUGGGCCUGCACUGACGCUCAGUGCACGAAAGCGUGGGAGCAAACAGG